CCGCGAGUGAUGUAACGAGGGAGCCAUGUCGGACUUAAAAUCCGAUGACCAUUGCGGUCGUGUGGGUUCGAAUCCCACCUCGCGGA
rnacentral:tRNA from 1 species